GAAAUGCGAUAAGUAAUGUGAAUUGCAGAAUUCAGUGAAUCAUCGAAUCUUUGAACGCAUCUUGCGCUCCUUGGUAUUCCGAGGAGCAUGCCUGUUUGAGUGUCAUUUAAUUCUCAACCCCUCCAGUUUUCUUGACUGGCUUGGUGGUUGGAUAUGGGGGAAUUAUCUGCGGGCCUCUUCAGAGGUCGGCUCCCCUGAAAUGCAUUAGCGGAACCGUUUGCGGUACUGUCACUGGUGUGAUAACUAUCUACGCCAAAGGACGUCUGCUCUCUGGUAGUUCUGCUUCAAAUCGUCCCUUUGCUUGGACAAUGAAUUAUUCAAUUUCUUGACCUCAAAUCAGGUAGGACUACCCGCUGAACUUAA
rnacentral:misc_RNA from 1 species